rnacentral:ribozyme from 1 species
GCUGCUCAAGUAUGCUACCUCUUCGUGGUGAGCAGCAGGCAACGGAUAUCCAUUCGGCUAAAGCAUAU